CUUUUGCUGGCGACCGGCGCACGGGUGAGUAACACGUAUCCAACCUGCCCUUUACUCGGGGAUAGCCUCUCGAAAGAAAGAUUAAUACCCGAUAGCAUAAUGAUUCCGCAUGGUUUCAUUAUUAAAGGAUUCCGGUAAAGGAUGGGGAUGCGUUCCAUUAGGUUGUUGGUGAGGUAACGGCUCACCAAGCCUUCGAUGGAUAGGGGUUCUGAGAGGAAGGUCCCCCACAUUGGAACUGAGACACGGUCCAA
rnacentral:rRNA from 1 species